rnacentral:rRNA from 1 species
UACAGAGGUGGCAAGCGUUGUUCGGAAUUACUGGGCGUAAAGGGCGCGUAGGCGGCCCGGUAAGUCCGCUGUAAAAGUCAAAGGCUCAACCUUUGAAUGUCAGUGGAUACUGCCGGGCUAGAGUCCGGAAGAGGCGAGUGGAACUCCUGGUGUAGCGGUGGAAUGCGCAGAUAUCAGGAAGAACACCAACGGCGAAGGCAGCUCGCUAGGACGGUACUGACGCUGAGACGCGAAAGCGUGGGGAGCAAACGGG